CCUGUCCAAGCUCCGCCCACUGUGCUACCAGACAUGGACGAAGGAGAGUUUUCAGGACAUGUGACCCUAUAGAUGAGAGGCUGCUUAGAGGGACCUAUAAAACAGAUGAAACCGGGCAGAGUACAGGGGAUGGUUCUGGCCAGGGGCAAAAAGG